rfam:Myotis brandtii contig261200, whole genome shotgun sequence.
GGCGGUUCUCGGGUGAUGCACCCCAGAAUCAGGCUCCCUCCUCUUUAAUUCUGGUGCGUCACCCAAGAACCACA